rnacentral:rRNA from 1 species
GAUGAACGCUGGCGGCGUGCCUAAUACAUGCAAGUCGAGCGAACGGACGAGAAGCUUUCUUCUCUGAUGUUAGCGGCGGACGUGUUAGUAACACGUGGAUAACCUACCUAUAAGACUGGGAUAACUUCGGGAAACCGGAGCUAAUACCGGAUGAUAUUUUGAACCGCAUGGUUCAAAAGUGAAAGACGGUCUUGCUGUCACUUAUAGAUGGAUCCGCGCUGCAUUAGCUAGUUGGUAAGGUAACGGCUUACCAAGGCAACGAUGCAUAGCCGGCCUGAGAGGGUGAUCGGCCACACUGGAACUGAGACACGGUCCAGACUCCUACGGGAGGCAGCAGUAGGGAAUCUUCCGCAAUGGGCGAAAGCCUGACGGAGCAACGCCGCGUGAGUGAUGAAGGUCUUCGGAUCGUAAACUUCUGUUAUUAGGGAAGAACAUAUGUGUAAGUAACUGUGCACAUCUUGACGGUACCUAAUCAGAAAGCCACGGCUAACUACGUG